rnacentral:lncRNA from 1 species
UUUAGUUGCUUUAAAAUUAUUUACUUUAUUAUUUAUACUAUCUUCCAGAGCACCAGUGUUUCUUACUAUAUGCUUCUUCACCUUUCCCCAGUAGUAUUCACGGUUUCCAAAAGAUACCAAAUAGCACUUCCUAUCUGUAUUAGUCCAUUCUCACGCUGCUAAUAAAGAUAUAACCGAGACUGGGUAAUUUGUAAAGAAAAGAGGUUAAAUAUAUGUGUUCAUUUGCAUAACCUUUUGUUAGGUUUUCUGUUACAUGCAGCUAAGUUCAUUCCUACAUGUUAAAAUUGCAAAAGGAUAUAACCAAAUUCCUUGAUGUGAUAAAUGAGAGCUUUCAUAACUGAUCACAACUACUUCUGUGAAGUAGAGGCUUCUUCCCACAAUGGAACAGAUUAAGUCCAGAUAGACACGUUUCCAGAACCACUUGAGGAAUGAGCAGCCUCAGCCUCCUGAGUAGCUGGGAUUACAGGUACCCACCACCAUGCCCAGCUAAUUUUUGUAUUUUUAGUAGAGAAGGGGUUUCACCAUGCUGGCCAAGCUGUGGGAUUACAGGCGUGAGCCACUGCCCUUGGCCCU